rnacentral:lncRNA from 1 species
GUUAGUUUGGCUGUCUGUAAGUAAAUGGGCAGGUUGUAGGUUGAUUCUGGAGAGCGGUUGGAUAUCGUGCACCGCAGCACACCGGGCAGCUGUGAUCCAGAUUACUGCCAGGCAGUGGUCCCGUGUGGGCAGGAUUUAAAUCCAAUCCCCAAGCCCAACCCUCAUGCUGAACGACUGGCGUGAUGAAGGACGCCACUACUGUUCCUGUCUCCUGGAGCGUGUGCAGAACUAGCUGUGAGACACAGACCCUUACUGCAACAUCCUGAUGUGAUCCCCAACAGUGGGGUGCUACUGGAGGAUGCUCUG